rnacentral:rRNA from 1 species
UACGAAGGGGGCUAGCGUUGCUCGGAUUGACUGGGCGUAAAGGGCGCGCAGGCGGCUCAUUUUGUCAGGCGUGAAAGCCCCGGGCUUAACCUGGGAACUGCGUUUGAUACGGAUGGGCUAGAGUUCGGGAGAGGAGAGUGGAAUUCCCAGUGUAGAGGUGAAAUUCGUAGAUAUUGGGAAGAACACCGGUGGCGAAGGCGGCUCUCUGGACCGAGACUGACGCUGAGGCGCGAAAGCGUGGGGAGCAAACAGG